rnacentral:rRNA from 1 species
CCUACGGGUGGCAGCAGUGGGGAAUAUUGGACAAUGGGCGAAAGCCUGAUCCAGCCAUGCCGCGUGUGUGAAGAAGGCCUUCGGGUUGUAAAGCACUUUCAGUGGGGAAGAAAGCCUUGGGGCUAAUACCCUCGAGGAAGGACAUCACCCACAGAAGAAGCACCGGCUAACUCCGUUCCAGCAGCCGCGGUAAUACGGAGGGUGCGAGCGUUAAUCGGAAUUACUGGGCGUAAAGCGCGCGUAGGCGGUCUGAUAAGCCGGUUGUGAAAGCCCCGGGCUCAACCUGGGAACGGCAUCCGGAACUGUCAGGCUAGAGUGCAGGAGAGGAAGGUAGAAUUCCCGGUGUAGCGGUGAAAUGCGUAGAGAUCGGGAGGAAUACCAGUGGCGAAGGCGGCCUUCUGGACUGACACUGACGCUGAGGUGCGAAAGCGUGGGUAGCAAACAGGAUUAGAUACCCUGGUAGUC